CAGCUGCCCUCUAUAGGCCUACAACCUCUUGUUUCUGUGCCCUGGGAACAGUGUCCAAGGCAAAGGGAGGGUCGGGAGAAAAGAACAGCAUUCCUUAUUAACUUGAAGAGGAAGACAACAUAUGGCUAAAUAAGAAACAGGUAUUUCAGCUGACAAAUCUAAGCCUAAACAUUAUGUUGGACUGAGGAAAAUACCCCGAGUCUGAUUACAGGCCCACUCAUUCACCUGCAUUCGCCUCAAGACUUCACAGCAGCUCCAUAUGACUUUCAAGUCAGGGGAUUUCUGCCAGUUCUGCCAGUACUUACCUUGAGGAAUAGUGAGAGAGGGAAUUGAAGAAGCUUAAGCUUUAUUCCUUACCUCCAGCCUGAAGAAACAGGUACUUUUAUAUAUAUAUAAAUGGGACACCGGUUAUUAUUUGAAUGAUCUGAUUGGUGGUGUUGGGUUAGAGCUGUGCUACCCUGUUUUGUAGUGAUUAGUCAGCAUGCAUGAACAUGCUACACAUUCACAAUAAACCACAAUAAGUGUUUGAAAGACCCUUUAUAAAUGAGAUAUGCAAACUCUUUCAGAUUAAACCAUUCUUUAGACUAAUGCAUAGUAUCACAGUAAUAAUUGGAUCCAAAUAAUUUGGGUCCCAAAUAAUUUAGACCCAAAUAUAUGCAGGAUAUCAGAGACAACCCUUGUCCAAAUUCCAUGUUUAGGAGAAGUACAUCACACGUAUCUACAAAAAAAGGAGGCCUUAUCUAUGAUGGUGCCACAACUGUGAAAUACCCUCCUGAUGGUGGUACUCCUGGAACUUAAACUGUUAUAUCUGGUACCAGAUUAAAACCUGUUUAUUUGCUCAUGUAUUUUAGAUGGUGGUGUUUUUAGUUAGUUGAAUGCUUUUAUUCCUCUUAAUUUUAUUGUAUCGCUGCUUGUGUUUUAUAUUUGUGUCCCACCCUGAAAAGUAUUUUUGGGUAUAGGUCAAUUUAUAAUAAUUUAAAAUAAGUAUAUAGAACUGAGAUGCUUUAAAUUCUGUGCUCACAAUGCACUUGUGUGCUGUAUUUUUAAAUAGGUAGAACUGCUUGAAAGGAAAUUUGUUAACGUGAAGUAAUAAAAAGGCUACUUUACAUUUCCAUAGCUUCAAAAUAUUAGGAAAGAUACAUUUUCUUGAAAUAACAAGUGGGGAUUUGAUACGAAUUUUUUUAAGGAAAGAUAUCUGAAGAUUUAUUAGCCUGACAAUUUGAUGCUACUCUUGGGGACUACACGAUUCCCUGACCAUUCCUUGACACUCUGAAGUCCUUGUUGUGACAUGGGCUACAGGGUCCUGGAAAGUGCAUGCUUUGCAUAAGUGUGACACCAGGUUUGAUGUCUAGCAUCUGCAUUUUAUUAAUUUGGGAAAGAAUAUAUUGGUUUGAUAUUUUCAGCCAUCAAAUGGCAGUCAGGACCACUAUAAUGUGAUAGGAAAAUAAAUGACAGCUUUGUUAAAAUUUACUUGGUAAAAGACGUGCCCCAUUGUUCUGAAGCCUCCUAUAGCAGCUCAGCCCUUUAUACUGUGCUUUUCCCCCUGCAGCCAGACAUUUCUACUCCUUUCUUAUUAUGGUCUCUAUGUUCUUCUGUUUCUCCAGCAGAACUGAAGAACAUGUUCUUCAGUGAGGUGGUUGUUGUUUUUUGAUUCCCUGGUGGGCAGGGUUUAAGCACUGUAAAUCUCCCAACCAUGCCUCUCUCAUUAAAUAUCAUUGCUUACAGCCUUUUAUCCCAUUGUAGAAAUUGCCCUGUGAGAACUGGCAAUAAUGAGGAUGGGGAUAGAUCAGUCAACAUGUGUCCUAGAUAUCUUGUCAACAUUUUGUGCUGUCUUCAUUCAUGUUUCAUCACAAAUUCCACAGUGACAAGCUAAAAGGUUACCAUUUAAAAUGGUGAUUAAUGUAGUUGUGUUUGAAAUUAGAUCCACUGCAAAUAAUAUGAACAUAGAUCUUAUAAGUUGUUUCCAGUGCCUUUCUAAACUGGGGAACAAAGUGUGUUGUACAUGUUCUUGGGUUAAAAGCUCAAUGAGCAUAUGUUGGGGUUAAUUAUAAUUCUUCCUAUUUGAGAUUACUAGGGAGGUGAGAGGGAAAAGGUUAGGAAACAGAACCACAGUUGACAUUUAUAAGCUUAUCUUAAUUAAUAUAUCUUCUGUCCGGUGCAUGAAAUUACUUCCUCCUUUGCAUGUGUCUGCAUUAAAGCUAUGUAGAGGUCUGUGAGCAAUAAGCGUAUCUGUACUUUUAGACUAUAGCAGCAAUACUUCCUUGUUAGAUAAAAUUAUUUCAUAUACUCAAAACUGAAUAUAAGGCAUAAAAUAAACAAGACACUUUGACUGUGGUAUUAAAAAGCAAAAGAGACUAGCUAAAAAUGUGAAUGACAGGAAUGACAGAAGACUAGAAAGUGAUAGAAUGAGGAACCCAUGUGUUUUGCUUAAGGUGUGAGACAGAUCUCAGUAACAGCUGGACUUUAUAUUUUCAAAAAAUGGAGACGCCAUUGUUUCCUUAUCCCAUAAUUCUAUGGGUGACCUGAUAACUGUAGCACCUAACAGGGACUAGUUUAUUGUUUGCAAUCUCCAUCUUAAGACUGCAUUUAAAUGCAGACCUCAUGACUACAAUAUCCAACCUAAUAUUUGUACUUCUUUGUUUUUGAUUCCUCAUCCAUCUCAUCCCCUGCUUUGUGUACCAUUUAGCCUGAUGAAGAGUUCUGGGAAACUAUAUUUUGGGUGGAUCUUAAUAUGCAUAUAGCCCAGUUGUGGAUUUUAAUAUUGGCUCUUAUGGACCAAUGCAGCUGUAUUUCCUUUUUAUGCAGCUUAAAAGUAACAUCCAGCUACUGGAAAUAUUGGUUAGUGUCAUAUUGAUUCAGGUAAAACUAAUUGAGCUAGAAAACUGGAUGUUCUUGGAAGAAUAGGUGACCAGUAGGAAAGCAGACCACAACCCUUCUGAUUCAGCCCUAGUGAUAGAAUUUUAGAGGAAGACAGUGUUCCUUUGACAAAAUUACAAUACAAGUCCUGCAUGUAUUCAAAACAUAUACCCAGCUAGAUUAAUAUAUGUAUUAACAUCAGCAAUUAAUUAUUCGAAGGCAUUACAUUGCCUGCAACAUUUGAUACAACUGACAGAAUUUAGCAUACUGAAUUAGCAUAUUGCAGUGUACUGCUGUGGAUGACCUAUUUCUCUGUAUCCUUUGAGAAUUAAGAUAGAGGAAGCUCUUGCAAGAGAAUCCUUGACCUCAGCAGUUAGGCAGCAAGUCGAUGGGUAGAUGAAAUACUGUAAUCUCUAUCAGGGCAGUACAAGAGAACAGGGACGUUUGUCAGCAUGAAGCAACCUUUAAUUUUCUGUUUAUAUGACAUUGACUCAGACUUGGCUCAUGUUCUCCAGUAUAAAACUUCAUAAUUAUGAAGUGCACACAAAGCCACAUUCAUACAAAUUACCAAGUUUCCACAAUUUUUUUCACCAUGGUUGCCUUGGCAAAUGUCCCUUCUGCAAAUAUCUGCCCCUCCAGUAAUAAUCUUGAAGCUGAGUGCAACAGGGAUGAGCCUCCAUUUUUCCUCCUGAGCUAUGGACUAAGAUGGAGGGCAGGGGGUUGUUCCUAUCAUGCUGGUGUCGAAUGUCUGAUGUCAAAGACAACACAAGGGAGGGAUAAGCCCAGCCAUAAUUUCUGACCACUGCAAAAUGAAAAUAUACAUUCAAGUUCCUCUAACCUAGCAAGGCUGAGCCAUUUAAAUGGCACAUCUACUGCAUACUGAUCAUAUCAGCUAACCACCUCUUGUGAGGGGAUUUUUUUAUAGUAUAGCAGUAAGCACAAUUGUUAUAUAUGAUGAUCUCUCGAUUGGUUCCCAUCUAAACAACUAUAAUUAGAACUGCAAAUGCUGUCCGAUGUGGUAUAUAUCUAGUGCCAAAAAAGUGACAUCUGUGUAUUGGAACCCAGAGUGUGCAAGAACCAAUCAAGCUGGAUUUUCAAAUUCACAUUGUUUCUUCUUUUCAUGAUAGAGCACUGUGAUAGCAGUUCUGGACACACACACAUGGUAUACAGGAAAGUGAAUGCUUUGGAAAAACUUGGGAAUAUUUUGGGGGGUUGCUGUUUAAUAUUUUCAUACAUGAGCUCAGCAGUUCCUGCAAUGCACAAUCUACAAUAACUGUAAUAAAGUGUUUGUAAUGGAGUGGGUUGGUAUUGCAUAGUAACAAGAUGACUUUUUUUCUAGUAUGGUUUUUAAAUGUGAUAUUUGGAAACCAUUAUUUUAGUUUUUAGGUAUCUUAUUUAAUCCAACCAUAACACAAACACUAACAUUUGCUCAAUCUACUUUAUAAAAUGUAGGAUGAAGGUCUUACUUUAAGAAGGGCUUUGGUUAUACAGUAUGUUAAAAGAAGGAAAGUGGGUCUCAUGUUGGGUUUCAAUCUGAGGUAAGAAUGUGUGUAUCUCCUCGUGUGAUAAAAUGUGAGAAUGCCUUUCCUGGAUAUUAUACUGGAAGCAUGAAAACUAGAUGCACAAAUCUCUGGCAGAUCCACUUUCUGCUGACUUGCCAUAAUGUUGAAAGCUCCUGAGAGUAAAAGGGAGAUGUUUUAAACAGGAAAGGUUUUCCUUAAAGAUGUAGGUAGGCAGCUGACCCUGAAUAAAGUACCCUUCACUUUCAGUUCUGACUGUGAAAAAACUACUAAAGACUCUUUCUAGCUCUUUUAACACUGGAAUCAUCUUUAAAAUUCAAAUAAAUUUUGGAAAUAGAAUGUGUUCUAAAUAAAGCAAAGGUCAUGAAGCAAAUUCAGAAAAUGCAGAAAAUACAGAGAACAGAUAAAUAAAACACACAUUUCUGCAUAUUUUCAGUUGAAAAAUUAUGAUAACUAUAAAAGUGCUUACUAUAAGAAACACAAAUACUGUGAGUAUGUCUGUGGAAUUAAAACCUGAGAUGGAGUUGUAACGUUGUAGUAGACCACAUAUAUUGCAUGUAAAACUCCCAGGUUAUUUCCCUGAGUUCUUCAGGUAGGACUGGGAAAUAUUCCUCUUGGAUACCUGUCGCCAGCCAAUUUAGAAAAUAUUAGACUGAAGAAAUGACACAAAAUAUGGCAAGUUUUAUAGAACAUGGUUCAGCUUUAUUUCCUGCACAUGGAAUGCAGCUUCCUAUGAGAUACACAAUCACAAACAUUGGAAGCAUAUAGUUUACAGCUCAUGGUUAGUGAUGAUUGAGCUUAACCCAUUUCAGAUGACACAGUAUGCCAAACCUUGGCUUAGCUCAGUGCAGUACUGGAGCAAAAGGACCAGGAAGACGCAGAGUGCCAUCCCAGUAAGCCAUAGGUUGACUUACCAUAUUGUGUGAAUGAGGCCAUUAUAGAUCUUUGUCCAAAUUGCAUUCUUAGCCUUCUGAAAUUUUAUUUUAGUGUUAAACUAGAUGUAUUUUCAAGGAAUAAAUGAGUAACAGUAUAUAUCUUUUUCAGCGUAUAUAUAUUUCUCUUCUUAAUUAAUUGAGCAUUAUAGUCUCAGAGUAGAUAGUGAAUGUUAAAUUAAGAUUCUCACUUAAGGCACUUACCUUAUUUAUUAAUAACCUACAGAAUGUUGAUGCAUUUUUUGAGAAAGACAUUUAAAAGGAGGGGAAAGGCUUUUGUAGAAGGAAAGGGCCUUACAUUUAGUC